rnacentral:tRNA from 1 species
GGGGGCGUAGCUCAGCGGUAGAGCAUCCGCCUUGCACGCGGAAGGUCAGGAGUUCGAAUCUCCUCGCCUCCA